UACGAAGGGGGCUAGCGUUGUUCGGCUUUACUGGGCGUAAAGCGCGCGUAGGCGGAUCGCUAAGUCAGGGGUGAAAUGCCGGGGCUCAACCUCGGAACUGCCUUCUAGACUGCAAGUCUCGAGGUCAGGAGAGGCAAGCGGAAUUCCGAGUGUAGAGGUGAAAUUCGUAGAUAUUCGGAGGAACACCAGUGGCGAAGGCGGCUUGCUGGACUGAUACUGACGCUGAGGUGCGAAAGCGUGGGGAGCAAACAGG
rnacentral:rRNA from 1 species